CCAGAUCUGUGGCACCUCCAACCCAACGCCACACCAAGUGCUGCUGGACACUCGCUUCGAGCUGCCCUUCGACAUUCCAGAAGACGAGGCUCAGUACUGGACCAGUAAACUGGAGCGGAUCAACACCAUGCGGAUACAUGAUGAGUAUCCUCUACCACAAGAGGUCCAGAGAAGAAGAAUGGCCUCUGUGCCUUCCCAGUGCUCUUACGAUGACCACGACAGCGCAGUAGACGACCGGGACAGCGACUAUCGCAGCGAGACUGGAAACAGACCUCCACGGUUCCACAACACUCCCCAGACAAACUCAUCUGUGCACCAGUACCCCAUAGGACGCAGGGUCCAGCAUCAGAGCCUGUCCCGGGAGUCUGACUCUGUACAGAGCUAUGACAUAGACUGUAGAGAAAUGAGGGGACCCAGCCCGCCAGACAGCAGUCACUUUGACUCAUCAGGCAACCUGAGCCCAGUCAGCUCCCAGCUCAGCUCUGAGCCCGAGGAGCGCCGACACCCUGAGGACCCCCGUCCACAUCUCCGAAGCCAGCCAUCUAAGUGGGAUGAGGAAGAAGAAGAAGAAGAGGAGGAGGAGGAGGUUGAGAAAGAGCUGCAUCCACUACCAGAGCCCGGGUCCAACAAAGACCUGAAGGACUCUUCAGUCAUUGUUCCUAAACCAGCGCUGGACGAUAACAAAGCACCGACUAAAAUCAGGUAAUGAACACAUGAAGGUGCUGCUGAUCCAGACACGAUCAGUUUAUGUCAUAUCGAUUUAUUCCGCGUGUCCUAUUGAAACUAUUG
rnacentral:lncRNA from 1 species